rnacentral:rRNA from 1 species
AUUGAACGCUGGCGGAAUGCUUUACACAUGCAAGUCGAACGGCAGCACGGGGGCGAACCCUCGGUGGCGAGUGGCGAACGGGUGAGUAAUACAUCGGAACGUGCCCACGUCGUGGGGGAGUAACGUAGCGAAAGCUACGCUAAUACCGCACACGAUCUCUGGAUGAAAGCGGGGGACCGCAAGGCCUCGCGCGAUUGGAGCGGCCGAUGGCAGAUUAGGUAGUUGGUGGGGAAAGGCUCACCAAGCCGACGAUCUGUAGCUGGUCUGAGAGGACGACCAGCCACACUGGGACUGAGACACGGCCCAGACUCCUACGGGAGCAGCAGUGGGGAAUUUUGGACAAUGGGCGCAAGCCUGAUCC